CACGUAGGGGCGAGCGUUGUCCGGAUUUAUUGGGCGUAAAGAGCUCGUAGGCGGUCUGUCGCGUCGGAUGUGAAACCCGGGCUUAACCCGGGCCUGCAUUCGAUACGGCAGACUCGAGUGUGUGAGGGAGACUGGAACUCCUGGUGUAGCGGUGAAAUGCGCAGAUAUCAGGAAGAACACCGGUGCGAAGGCGGUCUCUGGCCACUACUGACGCUGAGGAGCGAAAGCGUGGGAGCAAACAGG
rnacentral:rRNA from 1 species